rnacentral:rRNA from 1 species
UACGUAGGGUGCAAGCGUUGUUCGGAAUUAUUGGGCGUAAAGAGUAUGUAGGCGGCUAGAUAAGUCAGACGUGUAAGCCCAUGGCUCAACCAUGGAAUUGCGUUUGAAACUAUUUAGCUUGAGUGCAGGAGAGGAAAGCGGAAUUCCCAGUGUAGCGGUGAAAUGCAUUGAUAUUGGGAAGAACACCGGUGGCGAAGGCGGCUUUCUGGUCUGUUACUGACGCUGAGAUACGAAAGCCAGGGGAGCAAAGGGG